GCCGGGCAUGGUGGCGCAUGCCUGUAAUCACAGCUACUCAGGAGGCUGAGGCAGGAGAAUUGCUUGAGCCUGGGAGGCAGAGGUUGCAGUGAGCCAAGAUUGUGCCACUGCACUCCAGCCUGGGCAACAGAGCAAAGCCCUGUCUCAA
rnacentral:sRNA from 1 species